rnacentral:rRNA from 1 species
CGCCUCUUGCUAACAAAGGAAGUACUAGAGGUCCCGCCUGCCCUGUGACCACAAAGUUUAACGGCCGCGGUAUCCUGACCGUGCGAAGGUAGCGUAAUCAUUUGUCUUUUAAAUAGAGACCUGUAUGAAUGGCAUAACGAGGGUUUAACUGUCUCCUUCCCCUAGUCAAUGAAAUUGAUCUGCCCGUGCAGAAGCGGACAUAAACACAUAAGACGAGAAGACCCUAUGGAGCUUUAGACAAAAGAUCAAACAUGUAAAGAAACCAAACCAACCAAAAGGAACACGAAGGCCACAAAACCCAACGUAAACUGAUCUAAAUGUCUUCGGUUGGGGCGACCAUGGGGGAAAGAAAAGCCCCCACGAGGAACAGGGACAACCCCUAAACUAAGAGAGACACCUCUAAGCAACAGAAAAUCUGACCAAAAUGACCCAGGAUACUAAUCCUGAUCAACGAACCAAGUUACCCUAGGGAUAACAGCGCAAUCCUUUCCCAGAGUC